AACGCACCUUGCGCUCCUGGACUUGUUUCAGGAGCAUGCCUGUUUGAGUGUCAUGAAAUCAUCAACCACGAUGCUUCUUAGUGUCGCUGGCUUGGACUUGGGGAUCUGCUGGCUUGUCAAGAGUCGGCUUCCCUUGAAUGCAUUAGUCGGGUGCCUUGCUCGAGAAGUGUGAUAAUUAUCAUUCACUGAUCGUCGAGGAGCUUUGUCUCGGCUUCUAACCGCAUUGGAAACGAUGCAAUUUUGACACAUCUGACCUCAAAUCAGGUAGGACUACCCGCUGAACUUAA
rnacentral:misc_RNA from 1 species